AACUAUGGCCAUACCACCCUCAAUGCAGGAUCUUGUCUGAUCUUGGAAUCUAAGCAGGGUUGGGCCUGAUUAGUACUUGGAUGGGAGACCACCUGGGAAUACUGGGACCAGUCU
rnacentral:rRNA from 1 species